GCCUACGGGGGGCUGCAGUGGGGAAUCUUGCGCAAUGGGCGAAAGCCUGACGCAGCGACGCCGCGUGGGUGAUGAAGGCCUUCGGGUUGUAAAGCUCUGUGGGGAGAGACGAAUAAGACGUGGCUAACAUCCACGGCGAUGACGGUAUCUCCUUAGCAAGCACCGGCUAACUCUGUGCCAGCAGCCGCGGUAAGACAGAGGGUGCAAACGUUGUUCGGAAUUACUGGGCGUAAAGCGUGUGUAGGCGGCCAGGUAAGUUGGAUGUGAAAGCCCGGGGCUCAACCCCGGAAGUGCAUUCAAAACUGCUUGGCUUGAGUAUCGGAGAGGUUGGUGGAAUUCUCGGUGUAGAGGUGAAAUUCGUAGAUAUCGAGAGGAACACCGGUGGCGAAGGCGGCCAACUGGACGAAUACUGACGCUGAGACACGAAAGCGUGGGGAGCAAACAGGAUUAGAUACCCGUGUAGUCU
rnacentral:rRNA from 1 species